GCCUGCACGCGCGCGACUCGCCUGGCGCUGCGCCGCACCACCGGCCGCGCCGCCGGUUGCGUCGCCAGCCGCCUUCGCCAAGCACCGCCGCCGGAGCGCCGCCACGGACUGAAGACGUCGCCGCCGCCUGGAGGAAUUUGCGGCUCCUGCGUCCGCUGCUAGCCAUCAGGUGCAAAGCAUGGAGGUCCGAGCAACAAGAUGGUAGCCCUGGAAAGGAAGCCACGUACGUACGAAGCCAUCUGCCAUGCAAGGAUGAUAGCUACAGCAAUGCAAGACACGUUUGUGCAGAAGCAAACUAGCCAUGCAUCGAGUUCAUGCAUCUUUGCUCUUGCCAGCAGUGACAUCAUGGUGGCAUCAUGCAUAUGCGAAGGAUCGUUGUUCGAAAGCUUUGAAGAUUAAGAGUUUUAAGAGAGCAAGAGCCGAAG